AGGGGAUGCUGGUGGGGGGAGGGGAGAGGAGGGGCGGGGCGGAAAGGAGGGCCGGUUGCCUGAGGAGGGGCAAGUUCCUGCUGGGAAGGACCCCGCCUGUUUUCGCCCUCGCUCGACACCGCUGAGCGUCCCCAGAGCCCAUACCCGGGUCUGGAAGCAUCCAGCAAGCCCCCUGCAGCCUCCGCCCCUGCAAACUUCAGGUUGGAUCGUGUUGCAAAAGAGUCCUCUCUUUCUGGAGGUCUGCAUGCCCCAUAGCUCCCUGGGGGAAUUCUGACCCACCGGAACAUAAAUUUGCCUUUUACUGUUAGAGAACCGCCCUGCCGCCAGCCCCCUUCUCGGUGCCAGUGCCAAGUUGAGAAGGGCGCAGGGGCCGGAAAGCCCUGGGCCUGCGGAGGUAGGCCUGGGAGAGCCCGCUCUCGGUGGGUUUGGGGAAACGACCAGAAGUCUAUGAUCUCGCUUUUGUCAUCCGUGUGCCGUGUUUAUAGUACCAUCCACAGAGAGAGGAGCCUGAGAGCUGCAGAAGCAAAGUCGGGAAACCUGUGUGACACUCCCUUCUGUUAGACCUAAAGCAAGCCUCUCACCAGCCUCUCUGGGCCCACGUUUUCUUGUCUGCAAAUCAAGGUCUUCAAGAGAGGACCGUUAGAGCUGCCCACCAGAUUUGAAAUUCUGUGUGCAAACUUCCCCAAGGGCAGCCGAAAGGAUCAGGAGGCCUUUGCCUACUCCCAGGGAUCCCCAGUGUUUGAAACUUUGAGAUUUUUCCGGUUGAAGACAAGCAAGUCAUAUUUUCAGUGCCUUUGGAAGAGGAAAGGAGAAAGUUUGUUCUUCUGGUUAUUCUUUUACCACAAAUAUGGAAAAUAAAUGUUGCUUGUGACCACACACACACA